UGCUUAAAUAUUAGUUACUUAACAGUUCCUAGAAUAAUUCCUUAAUAAUGUAAGUAAAAUAAUUUUAUUUUUAUGUAGAAUAGAAUACCUCAAGUUUUGUUUCAGGUUUUUUUUUCUUCCAGGUUGAAGAAAUUAGGCAAGAGGUGUGCUUAACUUGUAAGAAUCCAUUGUCUGUAAUCUCUCCACCCUUCAACUCCUGGCUAUCUCCUCAUGAGUUAACGCUUGUGCUGCUUACAUGUAUUAAAGCAAUAAAACUUUCUUAUUUCCAUUAUUCUUUUUUUUUUCUGGUACUGGGGAUCAAACUCAGGACCUUGCACUUAUGAGGCAGGGGGUGACCACUAAGCUAAAUUCCCAGCCCUCCAUUAUUCUUGAUGUCCCAUGACUUUGAAGAAAUAGCUAGGUUUUAUGUAUUUCUCUUAUUUUUCAACCUUUAAACUUUUUUGCAAAAAGCUUCAGUUUUCUAAAUAUCAAUGUUUUAUUUAUUGCUUUUUUAUUUUUAAUUUGCUCUUUGUUCAUACUUUUUAAGGGUUACUAUAAUGAAAGACAAGAUACGAGGAAGAGUAAAGGGGGUUGCAUUUAUAUUAUUUUUGGAUAAAGACUGCUCAAAACUGCACCAGAGCCAUAAAUAACAAACAGUUAUUUGGUAGAGUGAUAAAGGCAAGCAUUGCUGUUGACAAUGGGAGAGCAGCUGAAUUCAUCCGAAGGCGAAAUUACUUAAGCGUUUUCAAUGUGGGGAAAGUGGACACUUAAGUUAUGCCUGUCCAAACAACAUGCUCGGAGAAAGUGAGCCUCCAAAGAAGAAAGAAAAAAAGAAGAAAAAGAAAAUUGCUGAACCGGAAGAAAUCAAGCCAAGAUUGAAGAACAGAACAAAUGGAAACCCAGUGCAGCAGGCCCCUCCACAUCAGAGGAUUCACGGCGCCCAAGGAUAAAGAAGAGCACAUACACUUCAGUGAUGAGGAAGAAUUUAGAGUUGUAUAAUGUAGAUGUCAGGAAAAUUAAAAAACAUCUGCAGUACAAAUUAUUUGCAUAUAAGAACACUUAGGACCAAAUAGUAAUUUUUUACCAUAAAACAGUGCUUAAAAGAUGAAAAAUAACCUUUUAAAUUAUCAUGUUUCGAGCUAGGUGUGGUGACAUACUCCUGUAAUCCCAGCACUCUGGAGGCUGAGGCAGGAGGACUGCAGGUUAAAGCCCACCUUGGGCAACUUAGCCCUGCCUCAAAAUAAAAGAUAAUUUUAAAAGUUACACUGAGGAUAUAGCUCAGUGUGAAGGUCUUGGAUUCAAUUCCCCAUGUAGAAAAAAAGAUAUUUCUACCUUGCCUUAGAAUACUAUAGACUUAACAUCUCUAAUCCAAAAAUCCAGAAUGCUCAAGUGGAAAAUUCCACACCAUGCAACUAUGAUUCACAGGCAACAUGAAAACUACUGUAUCCAAUUGCCUUCAGGUUAUGUACAGAAGGCAUUUAUGAAGCGUAAGUGAAACUCAUGCUUAGACUGAUAUUCCAUCCAAAACAUAUCACGUUCUGUAUAUGUACAUAUUCCAAAAUACUUCUGGUAUGAAUCUUUUUGUUUGGUUUGGUUAUGAGACAGGGUCUUCCUAUGUAGUUCAGGCUGGCCUUGAACUCGCUAUGUCGUAACCCAGGCUAGCCUCAAAUUAAAAGGGAUCCUCCUGCUUCAGCCUCCGAAGUACUGGGAUUAGGAGAGUACCACUGCACCUGGCUGUUCCCAAGUAUUUGGGAAAAGGGAUACUCUGCCUGUACUAAAACUCAGGAUUUGUUAGUAGUAAUCAAACUUGAAAAGAACUAAUUUUAAUAAAAACAAAAAUACUACAAUGGUAAUGCUUUUUUAUCCCAUAAAAAGGUAGGUAUUAAAAUUUGAAAACUUUACUGUAAAUGCUUAGUCAUGUCUCACUGGUUUAUAAGUACUUCUGAAAUAAAUUCAAUCUUUAAAACAAAAACUUCAUAUGAACUGAAAAAAUAAGGGGUUUAAUAGUACUGUCAAUAAACUUCAAAAAGAUGUUGUCUUUAAAUAUGGGUGCUUCAUCAUCUUACUUCUUUCAGCUUUCUCCCAGUCUACAUGUAUGUAAGUUAUAAAUAUCCAUAAAAUAGCCAGCGUGGGGACGCACACCUGAAAUCCCAGCACUGCGAGGCUGAGACAGGAGGGUGCCAUGAAUUCUAGGCCAGCUUGGCCUGCACAUAGAGUUCAAGGCCAGCCUGAAUUACAAAGCAAAACCCUGCCUCAAAAAAACAAAAAAGUUCUGCCGCCUGCCUCGCAAGCACAAGGACCCGAGUUCGAUAUCCGGUACCAAAAAAAAACAAAAAGAAACGAGGAAAAAAAAAAUACGUAAAGUAUGAAGUAGCUCUAAAAGGCUUAAAGCCAAAUGGGACAUACCUAUCUACUUUGUCUGUAAUACCAAAUUUUGUUUCCAGAAGCAACUACUUUCCAUUACUGUUUUAUAUAUAUGCACUCCAAUAAAAUGCCUAAAUUUCUAUCAACUGAUAAAAGGAUAAAGGAGGAUUUUCGAACCCAUCAUAAUGCCCCCAUUGCCUUACUCCACCUCCCAAAGGUGGCUAUGUUAAAAUUUCAAUUAGGGCUGGGGAUUUAGCUCAGUGGUUCUGCUGCCUGCCUGGGAAACACAAGGUCCUGAGUUCGAUCCCCGGAACCAAAAGAAAAAAAAAAUUUUUUUUCCAAUUAAAUCCAUAUUUAUUAUUUCUGUUUUUUGUAAACGAUCUUGUAAGUUUUUCAUAUAUUUAUUAACGUUUCUUUGUAUGUUAUGAAUAAAUCUUCCUGUAAUUCUGUGGUUGGUUA